AGCUUAGGAACCUGAGUGCUUUCCGUGACACGAGUUCUUAAACACGGUUUUUCUUUUUAUUAAGCAACCCGUUGUAGACAUUUUUGACAGUAAAGACAACUGCUACUUUGCUUAAAGAGCACCAGCAAUUGGAUGGAGGAAGAAGAAACUGUUUUUAUCACUCUCUUUUUAUUCUGCUGAACAAGUUUGUUCUAGAUGUUUCAGAUAAUUUGCUCUGCAUAGCAGUUUUCAUUUGUGUGGUGGUCAAGUAUCCAGAGGAUUUUUAAAUGUAGAAAGGCAGAAUUUUCACUCAUUCUGAGAAUCUAUUUACAGAGAAACUGGUGCAAAAAAAAUAAUGAUAAUAUCCAAAUAACCAAAAGAUUACCAUUGCGAAGAUUAAUUAAUGAUAUUCUCUUUUCAUUUAAAUACUGUUGCAUAUUGGCAGCAUUCUUUACAAGGCCAGUCCUAUUAUACCAUCUCCUUGAAGCAAUAAGAAGAAAAUUGCCUAAAUCAUUUUUUCUCGACAUUGGCUGCUCAAAGAUCAUCUGUGGAAACUUUUGAAAAUACCAGUGAGCCCCACCCCAGAGGUAGAGUCUAUUUCCCCACCUCUGGAAUCUGGACUCAUCUAUGACUACUUGCUUUGCUCAAUUGGAUGUGGUUAAAAUAACAUCUGAUCCUGAGUCUCAACAGACCUCGUAGUUUCCACUUUGCCCUUUUGGAAUGCUUCUACCAUCAUGUGAGGUCUUGCCUACCAUAAGAUGAAGAGCUUCAUGGAGCAGAGCUCCAGUUCAACCAUCAGAUGACUUCAUCCACUUGAGUAACCCUGGAAAGGCUUAGCAGAAUUGCCCCGAUGAACACCUAGCCCAAGUUGCAGAAUUGUGACCAGAAAAAAAUGUUUGUUGUUUUAAAGCACAUUUUGCGGUGGUUUGUUAUGCAGCGACAUUACAUGAUUGAAAUACAUUCCUAGCAUUUAAAUUAUUGGAUUUCAUUUAUGUUGUCCCUUAAGCAACAGUCUUACCUUGAUUUUUACUUAAAAUUACUUCAGUGCUAAUGCAUUAAGUAGCAAUGUGUAUUGAGUACUUUCUGCAUGCAGUGUGUGAUUACACACCUCCUACUUUCUUGAGCUUUACAAAAGGAAAUAACCAGGAAUGAGAAGCACUCCUUGAUCUUAAUGAAUUACAGGUUCCUGUUUUGCAUUAUUGCUUAACUUAAUGUAGCAAAAUAAAGCAGACAAAGCUUGAAAAGCAAACAAACAAAACAAUAAAAGGAAAUAACCAGAAGAGUUUUGUCCUUAUACAUUGAUACAGUAAAUCAACACUACAGAUUAAGAACACUCUUUUAAGAGUCUAUAGAAUAAUUUACAUUUCACUCUGCCACAUACACGGACAUAUUUACCAAGGACUUAACAUUAGCAGGUUGUAAAGAAAAGCAAAAGAAUAUCAGAGGGGGAAUUCUGAAGGAUGAGUUUUGACAUGAGUUCCUUUUCUGGAGAAAAGAAAGCUUGGUGUAUAAAUGAAAUUCUGAAUAAUAAACAGUGUCAAGGAAAAUUAGAACUUGUUCCCAGGAAGGCUAGGAAGCCUCAAAAUAAUUUUAAGUGUCUGUUAAUAAGCUUUCAGCACUGUUACACAUUAUAUUUUGUUGUGUUCGUUGAUAUUUGAACCAUUGUUUCUACAGUAGGUGUUGCCAAAGUUGCCAAAAUCCUAAACAAAUAUUCUUUGGGAACAGGGUCUCCUUCUAACUUAGAAAAAUUUUUUCUUCUUUUUUAG